UCUCUCCCUGACUCAUUGCUCUCAUUCCGCCGCCUCCAUAUUCACAAAUUGAUUUCCAGCCGCCUCCGCCUCUAAAUCCCGCCGUCUCCGCCUCUACACCGUGAAACUUCGAUUUCCAGCCACGACUACACCGUGAAUCGCGCGAUUUACGGCUAAUUUCUGGAAUUCCGAACGCCUACAACAACUAAACGGUGAAAUCAAUUCACAAGAAAGAGAACAAGAACCGAACCCGAUGAGGACGAGGUUGAAACAAGUAAUAGUGAAUGGAAUUUGAAUGAAGAAGAGUUUGAAGAAAUCAGCAAUAGCAUGAAUGAAGAUGAAACACAAUCUGUACAAGGAGGUUUAGCAGCGGGAUAUAAUAGAAUUGGGCUUCGGGGCACUUCUGAAUUUCAAGUUAAAUUACAGGCCUCCAAACUGAGGUUCUGGCUUGCAGCAUCCUUCAACCUAUAGGAGGGCCUGGGACAGAUUCCAAGCCAAAUAUUGUACAUCAAUGUUGUAUAACAACGACAAUAGGGUCAUUGGUUGUGUGUUGAGACUUGCCUCACAUCAGUUUGCGGAGGCAAAAAAGAGAGGACUGAUAGAUGUGGAGAAAAUGGUCGCAGAAUACAACAACAAACCAUCUUGGAUUGCUUCAUAAUGACAAUAGGGCCUAUGACUGCUGCAAUGAUGAAUGAAGUCUUGGCUGUUUAAAUGAACUCGUACUGAAACAUUAAGUUUUAUAGUUUUAUUUUUGGGUAGACAACAUGACUGACUUAAUUUG